CCUACGGGAGGCAGCAGUAGGGAAUAUUGCUCAAUGGGGGAAAACCCUGAAGCAGCAACGCCGCGUGGAGGAUGAAGGUUUUCGGAUUGUAAACUCCUUUUGUUAGGGAAGAUAAUGACGGUAGCUAACGAAUAAGCAUCGGCUAAAACCGUGCAAGAAGCCGCGGUAAUACGGAGGGUGCAAGCGUUACUCGGAACCACUGGGCGUAAAGAGCGCGUAGGCGGGAUAGCAAGUCAGAUGUGAAAUCCUAGGGCUUAACCAUAGAACUGCAUUUGAAACUGGUAUUCUAGAGUAUGGGAGAGGUAGGUGGAAUGCUUGGUGUAGGGGUAAAAUGCGUAGAGAUCAAGAGGAAUACUCAUUGCGAAGGCGACCUGCUGGAACAUAACUGACGCUGAUGCGCGAAAGCGUGGGGAGCAAACAGGAUUAGAUACCCGGGUAGUC
rnacentral:rRNA from 1 species